rnacentral:rRNA from 1 species
UACGUAGGGUGCGAGCGUUGUCCGGAUUUAUUGGGCGUAAAGAGCUCGUAGGCGGCUUGUCGCGUCGGAUGUGAAAGCCCUGGGCUCAACCUGGGAAUUGCGAUGGAUACUGGCAAGCUAGAGUACGGUAGAGGAUGGUGGAAUUCCCGGUGUAGCGGUGAAAUGCGUAGAGAUCGGGAGGAACACCAAUGGCGAAGGCAGCUCGCUGGGACGGUACUGACGCUGAGACGCGAAAGCGUGGGGAGCAAACAGG